UAGGGAAUCUUCGGCAAUGGGCGAAAGCCUGACCGAGCAACGCCGCGUGAAUGAUGAAGACCUUCGGGUUGUAAAAUUCUGUUAUAAGGGAAGAACGACUUUAGUAGGAAAUGGCUAGAGUGUGACGGUACCUUAUGAGAAAGCCACGGCUAACUACGUGCCAGCAGCCGCGGUAAUACGUAGGUGGCGAGCGUUAUCCGGAAUUAUUGGGCGUAAAGAGCGCGCAGGUGGUUGAUUAAGUCUGAUGUGAAAGCCCACGGCUUAACCGUGGAGGGUCAUUGGAAACUGGUCGACUUGAGUGCAGAAGAGGGAAGUGGAAUUCCACGUGUAGCGGUGAAAUGCGUAGAGAUGUGGAGGAACACCAGUGGCGAAGGCGACUCUCUGGUCUGUAACUGACGCUGAGGAGCGAAAGCGUGGGGAGCGAACA
rnacentral:rRNA from 1 species